rnacentral:lncRNA from 1 species
UUUUUUUUUUUUUUUUUUAAAUCUCUGCCUUACUCUUGCUCCCUCAGGUCAUUUUCUGGACAGACUACCUGUACUUAAGUUCUUAUCUGAUCCUUUUCUUUUGGGAGAACCCAAACUAGGACAGGUAUCUUUUGAGUACUUAUUAUUUAAAGAGUUGAUAACAUUUAAAGACUUAACUGUAUGAUCACCAAGGGUAUGAGUAUGGAGAAGAGGACCAAAAUCUGUGUUGUUGGUGACUAUAUGUGUUAAAUGGUUGGUAUGAAGAGGAACAACUAGAAAAGGAGACUGGGGCAUAAUUAGUGGUGUAAUAACAAAAUUAGGAGCCUGUAAUGUUUUGGAAACUAAGAAAAUGUGGAAAGAAGUAGGGGAAUGAUGCUUCUAAUGAAACAGUUCAAGUGAGAUGUGAACUUAGAAUUUAUCUAUUGAAUUUGGCAAUAUGUGAGCCAUUGAUGAACUAAGAAGAAUAGUUUCCAUUGAAGUGAUGGAGACAAAAGUGUGAUUGGAGUGUAUUUAAGAACAAUUGAUGAAAUAAUUGAAGACAGUGUAUAUAGACAAUUUGUUUGGAAUUUUAUUGUACAGGAAAGCAGAGAAAUAGAUUGGUAGCUGGAGAAAUUUCUUGAAAGAGAGAUUUCUUUUCUAAAGAUUUUAUUUAUUUAUUUGAGAGAAAGCACCAGUUGGGGGAGAGGGAGAAGGAGAAACAGACUCUCUCCUGAGCAGAGAGCUCAGUGUGAGGCUUGAUCCCAGGAUUCUGGGAUCAUGACCUGAGCUGAAGGCAGAUGCUUAACCCACUGAGCCACAUGGGCGCCCCAAGAGAGGUUUUCUUCAGAUAAAUACGCACAAGUGGAAUUGCUGGAUCAUAUAGCUGGAUUUCUUUUCAGGGAGGGACCUCCACAUUGUUUUACAUAGUGGCUGCACCAAUUUACAUUCUCUCUAAAAGUGCAGAAGGGUUCCUUUAUCUCCACAUCUUCAACAAUACUUGUUAUUUCUUGUCUUUUUGAUAAUAGCCAUUCUGAGUUGUGGGAUGUGAUAUCUUAUUAUUUUGAUUUGCAUUUCCCUGAUGAUUAGUGAUGUUGAGCAUCUUUUCAUCUCUCUGUUGGCUACUUGUUAUUUUUCUUUUAAGUGUAUAUUCAGAUUUUCUGCCCAUUUUUAAAUUGGAUUUUUUUUGGUCAUUAAAUUGUGUGAGUUCUUUAGAUAUUUUGAAUAAUAGUAUUUUCUCCCAUUCUGUAGGUUACCUUUUCCUUAUGUUGAUGGUUUCUUUUGCUGUGCCAGAGGCUUUUUAUUAUGACGUAGUACUACUUACUUAUUUUUGUUUUUGGUGUCAGAUUAAAAAUCAUUAACAAGACCUACCUGAAGAAGCUUACCCACCUGUAUUUUCUUCUAGGAAUUUUAUGGUUUUAGGUCUUAGGUUUGUUGUCUUUUUUUUUCUUCCUUUUUUAAAAAGAUUUUAUUUAUUUGAGAGAUAGCACAUACAAGCUGGAGAAGGGAGAGGGACAAGAGACUAUGCUGAGUGUGUAGCAUCAUGCAAUGCUCAAUCUCAUAACCUUGAGAUUAUAGCCUGAGUUGAAAUCAAGAGUUGGACCCUUUACCGACUGAGCACCCCAGGUGUGCCCCAGGUUCAAGCCUUUAAUCUAUUUUGAGUUAAUUUUUGUAUAUGGUGUAAGAACGUUGUCAAGUUUUAUUCUUUUGCCUGACUCUAGUUUUCCCCCUAUCAUUAAUUGAAGGGACUGCCCUUUACCUUACCCAUUGUGUUUGGGUAAAAAUAUUGACCGUAUUUUUUGAAAAAUGCAUUGGAAUUUCGAUAGAGAUUGCAUUGAAUUUUUAGAUUGCUCCGGGUAGUAUGGGCAUUUUACCUGUACUGAUUCUUGCAGCUCAUGAAUAUGAAAUAAUUUCUCAUUUAUUUGUAUCUUCAGUUUCUUUCAUUAAUAUCUUAGAGUUUUCAAUAUGUAGAUCUUUCAUCUCCUUCAUUAACUUUAUUCCUAGGUGUAUUGUUCUUUGAUACAAUUGUAAAUGGGAUUUUAAAAAAUUUUUUCUUUCCGAUAAUUUUUUUUAAAGAUUUUAUUUAUUUAUACAUGAGAGACAAAGAGAGAGAGAGGCAGAGACACAGGCAGAGGGAGAAGCAGGCUCCACGCAGGGAGCCUGAUGCGGGAAUCGAUCCCGGGACCCCAGGAUCACGCCCUGGGCUGCAGGGAGGCGCUCAACCACUGAGCCACCCAGGCGUCCCAACUUUCUGAUAAUUUUUUAUUAGUGAAUAAAAAUUAAACUGAUUUUUGUAUCCUGCAACUUUACCAAAUUCAGUUAUUAGUUUUAACAGUUUUUUUGAUGGAGUCUUUAGUAUUUUCUAUAUAUACUAUUAUGUCAUCUGUAAAUAGUGACAGUUUUACUUUUUCCUUUCCAGUUUGAAUGCCUUUAUUUAUUUUUCUUGCCUAUUUGCUUUGGUGGGGAGUUGAUAGCUUCACUGGUGAAUUCUAAGACGACUUAGUAACCUGUCCUUUUUUUAAAAGCAUCUGACAAAAAUUCAACAUCCAGUUAUAAUAAUUCUCAACAGAGUGGGUGUAGAAGAAACAUAUGUCAAUAUAGUAAAAGCCAUAUAUGACAGGCUUACAGUUAGCAUCCUACUCACUGGUGAAAACCUGAGAGCCUUUCUUCUAAGAUCAGGAACAACACAGGGAUGCCCCCUCUUGCCACUUUUAUUCACUAAAGUAGAUUUUAUAUUGUCAUUGCUAUUGGUUACAUGGACGUAUACAGUUUCCAAACUGUAGGGAUCUGUCCCUUUCUUUAUGUAAAUAAUCUGUAGGAAUGUAAGACAGAAAUUUAUACAAAUGUGGCACUCCUUAGUAACUUCAGUAUGUAUGCCUACAACUUUAUUCAACACUAACAUUUUUGUAAAACAUGUUUAGGCUAACAAUGGUUUGUUAUGAAAGUUGGAUUAGUAGUGCAAAUAUUGAAGAAACUCAGCUUUCUACUAGAUUAGAAUCCGGCCAGUAGGGUUCAGACAUCGAUGUUAGUCUUACAGCUCUAAGUAUGGAACUAUCUCUUUGUUGCUGUAUAUGUUAUAGGCAUAGCACAUUUUGUAUAUUCAGUUAUUGAUUUUUGUCCUUCAGGACCCAAUGCUCUUGUAUAGCAUUUAUAAUUUUUUUCAUUGUACAAAUUUCUUACCUUUUUAAAACAAUUUAUUCAUGAGAGAGACAGAAACACAGGCAGAGCAGCCCGAGUGGCGCAGCGGUUUAGCGCUGCCUUCAGCCCAGGGUGUGAUCCUGGAGACCCAGAAUCGAGUCCCACGUCGAGCUCCUUGCAUGGAGCCUGCUUCUCCCUCUGCCUGUGUCUCUGCCUCUCUCUGUGUCUCUCAUGAAUAA